CCCUUAGUAACUGCGAGUGAAGAGGGAAAAGCUCAAAUUUAAAAUCUGGCAGUGUUUCACUGUCCGAGUUGUAACCUAGAGAAGUGUAACCUGCGCUGGACCAUGUACAAGUCUCCUGGAAUGGAGUAUCACAGAGGGUGAGAAUCCCGUCUUUGACAUGGACUACCAGUGCAUUGUGGUUGUGCUCUCAACGAGUCGAGUUGUUUGGGAAUGCAGCUCUAAAUGGGUGGUAAAUUCCAUCUAAAGCUAAAUAUUGGCGAGAGACCGAUAGCGAACAAGUACCGUGAGGGAAAGAUGAAAAGAACUUUGGAAAGAGAGUUAAACAGUAUGUGAAAUUGUUGAAAGGGAAACGUUUGAAGUCAGUCAUGUUGGCUAGGGAUCAGCCUGACAAAUUGUUGGGUGUACUUCCUGGUUGACAGGCCAACAUCAGUUUUGACUGCCAGAAAAAGGUGAAGGGAAUGUGGCACCUUUUGGUGUGUUAUAGCCCUUUGUCGUAUGUGGUGGUUGGGACUGAGGAAAGCAGUGUGCCAAAAGGCAGGGCUUCGACCACAUUCNCACUGAGGAUGUUGGCAUAAUGGCUUUAAGCGACCCGUCUUGAAACACGGACCAAGGAGUCUAACAUGCAUGCGAGUGUUUGGGUGGAAAACCCUUACGCGUAAUGAAAGUGAAAGUUGAGAUCCCUGU
rnacentral:rRNA from 1 species